rnacentral:lncRNA from 1 species
CACCUUUGAUAAGAGCAAUCAAUAGCUGGGACCUGGUGCAGGUUCAUAGGAAGGUCAGGCAUGCAAGUAGAGUGUAGAUAAAGCAGGCACUAGUCAAGCAGGGACUGAACAGAGAGCAAGAGAACAGCUGCCUUGAGUGGACUGACCACAAAGCAGGGCACAGGCUGACCUGGCUUUUGCCAAGACCAGCAUCUAUGAAGAGCUUGCAGAAGAUGUAGGCAGGGCACAGCCCUCACACCUUUCUUGUAGAAGAGAGAAUACUUCAUGCUGGGGCUCCUGGGUGGAGGUAGGAGAGCUCUGCCCCCAUCAGCCGCGCCUUAGCUGCUGUAGGAACCGACAAGGUGAGGAAGCCCAGGUGGGCAGAGGAGGAGGGAGGAGAUGGUGGUGUAUUCUCAUCUGCGGGGCCUCCGGGGUUUAACCACUAGGACGCUCCAAGCAAGGCAGAGGGUCACGGGAAAGCCGGCCAACUCCUGAGACCUGUCACUGAGUUGGAGCGCGGU